rnacentral:rRNA from 1 species
AACACGUAGUUAACUUGCCCUCAAAUGGGGAAUAGCCUGUCGAAAGAUGGAUUAAUACCGCAUAAGACCACAGUUCCUGCGGGGACAGUGGUAAAAGAUUUAUCGCUUGAGGAUAGGACUGCGUCCGAUUAGCUUGAUGGUGAGGUAAAGGCUCACCAUGGCUCCGAUCGGUAGCUGGUUUGAGAAGAUGAUCAGCCACACUGGAACUGAGACACGGUCCAG